rnacentral:rRNA from 1 species
AAACUUUCAACAACGGAUCUCUUGGCUCUGGCAUCGAUGAAGAACGCAGCGAAGUGCGAUAAGUAAUGUGAAUUGCAGAAUUCAGUGAAUCAUCGAAUCUUUGAACGCACAUUGCGCCCGCCAGUAUUCUGGCGGGCAUGCCUGUUCGAGCGUCAUUAC